rnacentral:rRNA from 1 species
GACGAACGCUGGCGGCGUGCCUAACACAUGCAAGUCGAACGGUAAGGCCCUUCGGGGUACACGAGUGGCGAACGGGUGAGUAACACGUGGGUGAUCUGCCCUGCACUUCGGGAUAAGCCUGGGAAACUGGGUCUAAUACCGGAUAGGACCCUGGGAUGCAUGUCCUGGGGUGGAAAGCUUUUGCGGUGUGGAAUGGGCCCGCGGCCUAUCAGCUUGUUGGUGGGGUGAUGGCCUACCAAGGCGACGACGGGUAGCCGGCCUGAGAGGGUGACCGGCCACACUGGGACUGAGAUACGGCCCAGACUCCUACGGGAGGCAGCAGUGGGGAAUAUUGCACAAUGGGCGCAAGCCUGAUGCAGCGACGCCGCGUGAGGGAUGACGGCCUUCGGGUUGUAAACCUCUUUCAGCACCGACGAAGCGCAAGUGACGGUAGGUGCAGAAGAAGGACCGGCCAACUACGUGCCAGCAGCCGCCGUAA